UACUCUCAAAUGUGAAACUUGCAUGCUUGCAUCCAGCUGUGGAUAUUCUGGGAAAAUACCCGUUAAUGCCCGUUAAUGAUGACGUUAUACUCCCGCUUGCAACCACGACUUCCUCCUCUUCGGACUUCAUCAAGCAGAUAUGCCAGGACCUGGUUCAACUACUAAGAAAUGUGCGUCUUGUUCUAUGCCACUCAAUGUGGCUUGCAAGACGUGCAAGUACUGCAAAGCAGCGCAGCCCCACAAUCUGCGUUUGAAAAAAAAAAAAUAGAAAGAUUUGAUUUGAAAUCAGAGACAUGGGCCCAGGCCCAGAAAAAUAAUAACACUUCAUCCCACCUGAUGGAUGACGCUUCUUUGUUGCUGGAAAGGUUUUAGGCCCUUGGCUCCAGGGGUGUGUUAUUUAUAUCCCGCCCUGGAACUAAAUCGUGGACCUGUGAGG